CCUGGCUUUGCCACAGGCAUGCCUUCACAGAAGUCACUUAACUAAGUCUAGGUUCCUCAUCUGUGAACUGAGAAAACUAAAAGCACUGAUUCCAUGGGGUGCUGCCAGUAGGAAGAAGUCACCCAUGACUAUCUGGAACAACAUUGUGGGGAAGGCCAAGUUUCUGGUGCGGUCUUACUAAGUUGCCCAGGCUGGUCUUGUACUCUUGGCCUCAAGCAAUCCUCCCACCUCAGCCUCCCAAAGCACUGGGAUUACACACAUGAGCUACUAGGCCCGGCCUCUUCUGUCUUUUUGUAGUGGUGACGUGUGGCAAAUGGAUUGUAAAUGAAGAUAGACUGUGUAAUGAAUGACGACACUAAAGACUAAUGUGAAGGACUUUAGGGAAAACAAAAGGCUUUCAUCUGAAAGGAUGAUCUGUGGACCAAGGUCACUCAUACCACUCACUGCUCAUUUUCUCAUGUUAUUUUAAAACUUUUUUCGGCCUUUAUACUGCUUUCAGCAGCAUUUGUGUGUAAGAAGUGGACGAUGACUUUAAUAAAGAGACCCGAAUGGAACUGAAU
rnacentral:lncRNA from 1 species